CUAUCCAGGUUAUGAUAGAAUAACCUUAAAGUGAAUAUGUUCCAGGCAAAUACGGGAAGUCAGUGCAAUUCUGACACGGUCCCGCCACUGUGAGGGGGAGCAAGCACCAUAAAGCCACUGGGUAAUACCUGGGAAGGCGGUGCUGGAGUUAUGAUCCCGAGUCAGGAUACCGGUUGUCUGGGAACCUUUACC
rfam:Moorella glycerini strain NMP genome assembly, contig: M_glycerini_NMP_DRAFT_scaffold-22